AGUGAACGCUGGCGGUAGGCCUAACACAUGCAAGUCGAACGGCAGCACAGUAAGAUCUUGCUCUUACGGGUGGCGAGUGGCGGACGGGUGAGGAAUACAUCGGACUCUACUUUUUCGUGGGGGAUCACGUAGGGAAACUUACGCUAAUACCGCAUACGACCUACGGUUGAAAGCAGGGGAUCUUCGCACCUUGCGCGAUUGAAUGAGCCGAUGUCGGAUUAGCUAGUUGGCGGGGUAAAGGCCCACCAAGGCGACGAUCCGUAGCUGGUCUGAGAGGAUGAUCAGCCACACUGGAACUGAGACACGGUCCAGACGCCUACGGGAGGCAGCAGUGGGGAAUAUGGGACAAUGGGCGCAAGCCUGAUCCAGCCAUACCGCGUGGGUGAAGAAGGCCUUCGGGUUGUAAAGCCCUUUUGUUGGGAAAGAAAAGCAGCAGGUUAAUACCCAGCUGUUCUGACGGUACCCAAAGAAUAAGCACCGGCUAACUUCGUG
rnacentral:rRNA from 1 species